rnacentral:rRNA from 1 species
UACGUAGGGCGCAAGCGUUGUCCGGAAUUAUUUGGGCGUAAAGAGCUCGUAGGCGGUCUGUCGCGCGGCUGUGAAAAACUCGGGGCUCAACCCCGAGCCUCAGUCAUACGGGGCAGACUAGAGUUCGGUAGGGGGAGACUGGAAUUCCUGGUGUAGCGGGUGAAAAUGCGCAGAUAUCAGGAGGAACACCGGUGGCGAAGGCGGGUCUCUGGGGCCGAUACUACGUGAGGGAGCGAAAAGCGUGGGGGGAGCAAAACAGGGAUUUAGAAA